CAGCCGCCGCGGUAAUACGUAGGCGGCAAGCGUUGUCCGGAAUUAUUGGGCGUAAAGGGCUCGCAGGCGGUUUCUUAAGUCUGAUGUGAAAGCCCCCGGCUCAACCGGGGAGGGUCAUUGGAAACUGGGAAACUUGAGUGCAGAAGAGGAGAGUGGAAUUCCACGUGUAGCGGUGAAAUGCGUAGAGAUGUGGAGGAACACCAGUAGCGAAGGCGACUCUCUGGUCUGUAACUGACGCUGAGGAGCGAAAGCGUGGAGAGCGAACAGGAUUAGAUACCCCAGUAGUCCCUGUCUCUUAUAC
rnacentral:rRNA from 1 species